rnacentral:ncRNA from 2 species
ACCCCUCACCAGGGGUGCCGCAAGGCUGAGAGAGCGGGUGCGCUCAACCCUCGAACCUGAACCGGGUCAUACCGGCGUAGGGAGCGUGACCGGCGGCCGCC